UAUGAAGAACGUAUCGAAAUGCGAUACGUAGUGUGAAUUGCAGAAUUCAGUGAAUCAUCGAAUCUUUGAACGCACAUUGCACCUCUCGGUAUUCCGGGAGGUAUGCCUGUUCGAGCGUCAUUUGUACCCUCAAGCUCUGCUUGGUGUUGGGUGUUUGUUCCGCCUCUGUGUGUGAACUCGCCUCAAAACAAUUGGCAGCCGGCGUACUUGUUUCGGAGCGCAGCACAUUUUGCGAUCCAGAUCAACGUACAGCGGCAUCCAAGAAGCCUUAUUUAACGCUCUUGACCUCGGAUCAGGUAGGGAUACCCGCUGAACUUAAGCAUAUCAAUAAGCGGAGGA
rnacentral:misc_RNA from 1 species